rnacentral:rRNA from 1 species
AACCAGCACCUCAAGUGGUCAGGAUAAUUAUUGGGCCUAAAGCAUCCGUAGCCAGCUCUGUAAGUUUUCGGUUAAAUCUAUGCGCUCAACGUAUGGGCUGCCGAAAAUACUGCAGAGCUAGGGAGUGGGAGAGGUAGACGGUACUCGGUAGGAAGGGGUAAAAUCCUUUGAUCUAUCGAUGACCACCUGUUGCGAAGGCGCCACGCUAGAACGGAUCCGACGGUCAGGGACGAAGCCUAGGGGCACGAACCGG